rnacentral:misc_RNA from 1 species
GGUUUAAUUACCUAAGUUUGAG